AUGAACGCUGGCGGCGUGCCUAAUACAUGCCAGUCGAGCGAACGGACGAGAAGCUUGCUUCUCUGAUGUUAGCGGCGGACGGGUGAGUAACACGUGGAUAACCUACCUAUAAGACUAGGAUAACUUCGGGAAACCGGAGCUAAUACCGGAUAAUAUUUUGAACCGCAUGGUUCAAAAGUGAAAGACGGUCUUGCUGUCACUUAUAGAUGGAUCCGCGCUGCAUUAGCUAGUUGGUAAGGUAACGGCUUACCAAGGCAACGAUGCAUAGCCGACCUGAGAGGGUGAUCGGCCACACUGGAACUGAGACACGGUCCAGACUCCUACGGGAGGCAGCAGUAGGGAAUCUUCCGCAAUGGGCGAAAGCCUGACGGAGCAACGCCGCGUGAGUGAUGAAGGUCUUCGGAUCGUAAAACUCUGUUAUUAGGGAAGAACAUAUGUGUAAGUAACUGUGCACAUCUUGACGGUACCUAAUCAGAAAGCCACGGCUAACUACGUG
rnacentral:rRNA from 1 species